rnacentral:rRNA from 1 species
AGUGAACGCUGGCGGUAGGCCUAACACAUGCAAGUCGAACGGCAGCACAGUAAGAGCUUGCUCUUACGGGUGGCGAGUGGCGGACGGGUGAGGAAUACAUCGGAGUCUACUUUUUCGUGGGGGAUAACGUAGGGAAACUUACGCUAAUACCGCAUACGACCUACGGGUGAAAGCAGGGGAUCUUCGGACCUUGCGCGAUUGAAUGAGCCGAUGUCGGAUUAGCUAGUUGGCGGGGUAAAGGCCCACCAAGGCGACGAUCCGUAGCUGGUCUGAGAGGAUGAUCAGCCACACUGGAACUGAGACACGGUCCAGACUCCUACGGGAGGCAGCAGUGGGGAAUAUUGGACAAUGGGCGCAAGCCUGAUCCAGCCAUACCGCGUGGGUGAAGAAGGCCUUCGGGUUGUAAAGCCCUUUUGUUGGGAAAGAAAAGCAGCAGGUUAAUACCCCGCUGUCCUGACGGUACCCAAAGAAUAAGCACCGGCUAACUUCGUG